rnacentral:rRNA from 1 species
AGUCGAGCGGAUGAAGAGAGCUUGCUCUCUGAUUCAGCGGCGGACGGGUGAGUAAUGCCUAGGAAUCUGCCUGAUAGUGGGGGACAACGUUUCGAAAGGAACGCUAAUACCGCAUACGUCCUACGGGAGAAAGCAGGGGACCUUCGGGCCUUGCGCUAUCAGAUGAGCCUAGGUCGGAUUAGCUUGUUGGUGAGGUAAUGGCUCACCAAGGCGACGAUCCGUAACUGGUCUGAGAGGAUGAUCAGUCACACUGGAACUGAGACACGGUCCAGACUCCUACGGGAGGCAGCAGUGGGGAAUAUUGGACAAUGGGCGAAAGCCUGAUCCAGCCAUGCCGCGUGUGUGAAGAAGGUCUUCGGAUUGUAAAGCACUUUAAGUUGGGAGGAAGGGCAUUAACCUAAUACGUUAGUGUUUUGACGUUACCGACAGAAUAAGCACCGGCUAACUUCGUGCCAGCAGCCGCGGUAAUACGAAGGGUGCAAGCGUUAAUCGGAAUUACUGGGCGUAAAGCGCGCGUAGGUGGUUUGUUAAGUUGAAUGUGAAAGCCCCGGGCUCAACCUGGGAACUGCAUCCAAAACUGGCAAGCUAGAGUAUGGCAGAGGGUGGUGGAAUUUCCUGUGUAGCGGUGAAAUGCGUAGAUAUAGGAAGGAACACCAGUGGCGAAGGCGACCACCUGGGCUAAUACUGACACUGAGGUGCGAAAGCGUGGGGAGCAAACAGGAUUAGAUACCCUGGUAGUCCACGCCGUAAACGAUGUCGACUAGCCGUUGGGAUCCUUGAGAUCUUAGUGGCGCAGCUAACGCAUUAAGUCGA